rnacentral:rRNA from 1 species
AACGAACGCUGGCGGCAGGCCUAACACAUGCAAGUCGAACGCCGUAGCAAUACGGAGUGGCAGACGGGUGAGUAACGCGUGGGAACAUACCCUUUGGUUCGGAAUAACUCAGGGAAACUUGAGCUAAUACCGGAUACGUCCGAGGUUUAAUCGGCCUUGGAGAAAGAUUUAUCGCCGGAGGAUUGGCCCGCGUCUGAUUAGCUUGUUGGUGAGGUAAUGGCUCACCAAGGCGACGAUCAGUAGCUGGUCUGAGAGGAUGAUCAGCCACAUUGGGACUGAGACACGGCCCAAACUCCUACGGGAGGCAGCAGUGGGGAAUAUUGGACAAUGGGCGAAAGCCUGAUCCAGCCAUGCCGCGUGAGUGAAGAAGGCCUUAGGGUUGUAAAGCUCUUUCAGCGGGGAAGAUAAUGACGGUACCCGCAGAAGAAGCCCCGG